UCAGGCCUAACACAUGCAAGUCGAACGGUAACAUUUCUAGCGUGCUAGAAGAUGACGAGUGGCGGACGGGUGAGUAAUGCUUAGGAAUUUGCCUUUGUGAGAGGGACAACAGUUGGAAACGACUGCUAAUACCGCAUGAUAGCUCCGGCUCAAAGAGGGCUUUUGCUCUCGCGCAAAGAGAAGCCUAAGUGAGAUUAGCUGGUUGGUGAGGUAAAGGCUCACCAAGGCGACGAUCUCUAGCUGGUUUGAGAGGAUGAUCAGCCACACUGGGACUGAGACACGGCCCAGACUCCUACGGGAGGCAGCAGUGGGGAAUAUUGCACAAUGGGGGAAACCCUGAUGCAGCCAUGCCGCGUGUGUGAAGAAGGCCUUCGGGUUGUAAAGCACUUUCAGUGAUGAGGAAAGGGUGUGUGUUAAUAGCGCACACCUGUGACGUUAGUCACAGAAGAAGCACCGGCUAACUCCGUGCCAGCAGCCGCGGUAAUACGGAGGGUGCGAGCGUUAAUCGGAAUCACUGGGCGUAAAGCGCACGCAGGCGGUUGAUUAAGCUAGAUGUGAAAUCCCCGGGCUUAACCUGGGCACGGCAUUUAGAACUGGUCGACUAGAAUACGAGAGAGGGUGGUAGAAUUUCAGGUGUAGCGGUGAAAUGCGUAGAGAUCUGAAGGAAUACCGGUGGCGAAGGCGGCCACCUGGCUCGAUA
rnacentral:rRNA from 1 species